AAAUGUUAGUCUUGAUUUAACAUUUUUGAAAAUAUUUUUUUUCGAAAAGAUCGGAAAAUUUCAUGAAUGUUUCAUGUUUUAACAUUGUAAAUCGGACCUAUAUUUGCUGAGAUAUCGACAUUGGAAAAUGGUGGGUUGUUUGGGUGAGACUUAGAAAACAUCAAUUUUCCUGUUUUUUACCCUUUGCAUGGCAAUAUCUCAGCAACUACCCAAUCAAACCGUUCUCCGCUUGACGGGUUCAUUCCGCUUCGAAUUCCGCUUCGAAAAUUGCUUCGAAAUUUUCUAAACGGAAUCUCCGGUUGGACUCCGUUUAGAUUCCGUUUGAGCCAUUUUAGCACAUUAGCGACACCUGCUGGUGUACGGCAGAACCUCGAUGACAUUUCGCCGCGUUUCGCCGAAGCGGUUUUCUUGUUGAUUUUUUUUCAAUCAAACGUCAAAGUGUUAGGGAAAAAUCAAAAACCACAACGUGUUCGAUCCUGUUCAUUCGCGCCACGUUUUUUCGGCUAAAAAAACUUGCUGUGGAAAUAAUCGAGCUGAUUCCUGGCCGCCCUACACGGGAUCGACGGAACCGGCUUCUUUCAUGUCUCUUCCAGCCGUAUCUUCUUCAUCCGGUCCAGCUUGUGCAACCUUCGUCGGGGUUCUCAUUCUGCGGUCCACAUUCCCGGCGGCACCGAACUCUGCCUUGGUCGACGCUAGUGGCUGGGACACUUUGGCCAUGAUGGCCGAUUUAGCCUUGGCCGGACUGGCCUAGAGGCGCUUCUUCUGAGGAAGCACACGUGCACGAUUUUUUUUCACAGCGCACUACAGGUGGACAAUCGCGGGGUGUUCCUCGAUUUGAACGUUGGCCAACUUUGAAUUAAACGGUCGAUCUCGAUGCGCCCGCUGGAGGGUUGUGGCCACUGAAACCAGCCAGCUGCGGAAUGUGUGUGGGCCUAAGGCCUGACCUGUCCUGCGUGCUGGGGGCGACACGAUGCUGUCGAUCUAGCUUGUGGGCCAGGAGAUCGUACUUUCGACGGAAAAAUUCACCGCUUCAACAACACCCAGCGAGGGCACCUCACGUGGCUUAGAAAAUCUCACCCGAAUACUUUCAAAACAACAAAACAGCAUCAGCAAUUGCUGUCUUUGAAAAGUUGCUGCUUGUCCUUCUGUUUUGCCCAACAAAACGCCGGUCGCGGCGUAAUUGCUCGUGCCGCCUCCGGAGAGUGACGCCGUCGUGUCUAAGUUGCCGAACCCGAUGGACGGCAACCUGGCGGAGCUCGUACCAAACGCGCCUGAUAGUGUCGGCGCCAGCAGUGACGCGUUCGAAAGCAUGGCCCAGGCGCGCAUGGUUCAGCGGCGGGAGAACACUCGAUGACGUCCCAAUCCCCUUGUCGUGCCUAACCCUCCGAUUGCGUUGGACCGCCAACACCACCUCCUCCUGCGCCGGCCUACGGGUGAAGAGUGGACCACCUUCGCAGUCGUAACAUCUUCCAGCACGGAUCGCCGGCAUUCGAAUGCCUGCCAAGCUCCCUAACCUCGGUGCGACGACGACGAGGCUCACCUGGAUCAAGCGGCCACGCUCCAGUCGACGAAAUCAUCCGAUACGAUCGACGGCGGCCAAGACGAAGACGAUGGAAUCCCGCGUGUAUCAUCCCGGCGUCGAGUACGGUCGAAUCGUUCGAUGCGACUCUCCAAGUCGGCGGACAAGAUAAAAUAAAAUCCACCCGAUCGGAACGAAAACCGACAAGUCUGGAUUCGGCUAUCCAGAUUACGCGGACGCCCAGCAACAAGAAGCAGCAGAACGAAUUUCACAUCAUCUCACUCACUAAAGCCUAUGUAAUUUUGCGAAAAAAAAGAUUAUUAAAAUUGGGGAAUUUGGGGCUGGGACUCGUGUUUUUAUUAAUAAUUCAAAAGGCGCUAAGUACAUAUAGAAAAACCUGUAAUGGUUUUGACUUAAGUAAGAUAGAAUUAAUAAAAAUAAUCUCAAAGUAUAACCAAAAUUCCAAUCUGUAUUUUUCUGGUUGAAUUUGAUUCAACCAAAACAAAAAAGAAAAUCACUAUAUUAAGAACAAGAAGAAGAAGAAGCAGCUGUCAAAACUAACCCGUCCAUUCCGAUUCGAUUCCGUUUGAAUUCCGCUUGAACCGAUUUGCGGCGAAAACUCAAACGGAACCGGUUGUUGCGUUUGAAACGGAAUGCGGUUUAGAAUCUAAAACGAACACUGUUUAGAAUUCGAAUCGAACUUUUUUCGCUCAAGCGGAAUUCUAAACGGAAUUCAAACGGAACGCGCUGAGUGGGUAAGGGUCGUAUCAACAAAGUCCGAAAAAGAAAAAUAUAGAGAAUUUUCUCAGCUUUUCAAAAAUAUUUUUUUCAACAGUGGGCAAACAUGGGCCCUAUUUUAAAAAAAUGAAAAACUGCGACUAUUUUCAAAAAAGUUACCUAAACAUGGUUAUAACUUGAAAACGGUGCACUUUAUCAAAAAUUCACUAAAGUACUUUUUGAUUGCAAAUUCGAUUUUACAUCGAAAAAUGAAGUUGAAAAAUGUUUGCGACCAAUAUUUCGAUUUUUUGAAAAAAUCUGUAUUGAUUCAAAAAAUUAUAACUCGGUCAAAGAUUGUUUGCCCACUCUGGAAAUUUCUGAAAAGUUGGCAUUUUAUGCCCUCUAAAACAUAUCAAAAAAUAAAAAAAUUAAAAAUAGUGUUUUUUUGCAAAUCAAGUUUUAGUGACAAAAAGUUAAAUUAAAAAUUCACCAAAUUUUUUUUUACCGUGUAUCUUUUUUUUCAGUACCUACAACUUUGCCGAAGACACCAAAUCGAUCAAAAAAAUCCUUCAAAAGAUACAGAAUUUUGAAUUUUCACAUAUCAUUUUUGUAUGGACAGCUGCCAAAUUUGUAUGGAAAAUUAUAUGGACAAACUAAUGAUGCA